UACGUAGGGUGCAAGCGUUGUCCGGAAUUAUUGGGCGUAAAGAGCUCGUAGGCGGUCUGUCGCGUCGGAUGUGAAAAUCCAGGGCUCAACCCCUGGACCUGCAUUCGAUACGGGCAGACUAGAGUUCGGCAGGGGAGACUGGAAUUCCUGGUGUAGCGGUGAAAUGCGCAGAUAUCAGGAGGAACACCGGUGGCGAAGGCGGGUCUCUGGGCCGAAACUGACGCUGGGAG
rnacentral:rRNA from 1 species